rnacentral:rRNA from 1 species
UACGGGGGGAGCAAGCGUUGUUCGGAUUUACUGGGCGUAAAGGGCGCGUAGGCGGCCACCGCAAGUCGACUGUGAAAUCUCCGGGCUUAACCCGGAAAGGUCAGCCGAUACUGCGGGGCUAGAGUGCAGAAGGGGCAACUGGAAUUCUCGGUGUAGCGGUGGAAUGCGCAGAUAUCAGGAGGAACACCAAUAGCGAAGGCAGCUCGCUGGGACGGUACUGACGCUGAGGUGCGAAAGCGUGGGGAGCAAACAGG